rnacentral:rRNA from 1 species
UACGAAGGGGGCUAGCGUUGCUCGGAAUCACUGGGCGUAAAGCGCACGUAGGCGGAUUGCUAAGUCAGGGGUGAAAUCCUGGAGCUCAACUCCAGAACUGCCCUUGAUACUGGCGGUCUCGAGUCCGGGAGAGGUGAGUGGAACUGCGAGUGUAGAGGUGAAAUUCGUAGAUAUUCGCAAGAACACCAGUGGCGAAGGCGGCUCACUGGCCCGGAACUGACGCUGAGACGCGAAAGCCAGGGGAGCGAACGGG